rnacentral:rRNA from 1 species
AUACGGAGGGUCCAAGCGUUAUCCGGAUUCAUUGGGUUUAAAGGGUCCGCAGGCGGGAAAAUAAGUCAGUGGUGAAAGCCUACAGCUCAACUGUAGAACUGCCAUUGAUACUGUUUUCCUUGAGUAUAGAUGAAGUGGGCGGAAUAUAUCAUGUAGCGGUGAAAUGCAUAGAUAUGAUAUAGAACACCGAUUGCGAAGGCAGCUCACUAAACUAUUUCUGACGCUCAGGGACGAAAGCGUGGGGAGCGAACAGGAUUAGAAACCCUUGUAGUCC